rnacentral:rRNA from 1 species
AACGAACGCUGGCGGCAGGCUUAACACAUGCAAGACGAACGCCCCGCAAGGGGAGUGGCAGACGGGUGAGUAACGCGUGGGAAUCUACCCAUCUCUACGGAAUAACUCAGGGAAACAUGUGCUAAUACCGUAUACGCCCUUCGGGGGAAAGAUUUAUCGGAGAUGGAUGAGCGCGCGUUGGAUUAGCUAGUUGGUGGGGUAAAAGCCUACCAAGGCGACGAUCCAUAGCUGGUCUGAGAGGAUGAUCAGCCACAUUGGGACUGAGACACGGCCCAAACUCCUACGGGAGGCAGCAGUGGGGAAUAUUGGACAAUGGGCGCAAGCCUGAUCCAGCCAUGCCGCGUGAGUGAUGAAGGCCCUAGGGUUGUAAAGCUCUUUCACCGAUGAAGAUAAUGACUGUAGUCGGAGAAGAAGCCCCGGCUAACUUCGUGCCAGCCGCCGCCGUAAGAC